UGUCCGGAUUAUUGGGCGUAAAGGGCUUGUAGGCGGUUGGUCGCGUCUGCCGUGAAAUCCUCUGGCUUAACUGGGGGCGUGCGGUGGGUACGGGCUGACUUGAGUGCGGUAGGGGAGACUGGAACUCCUGGUGUAGCGGUGGAAUGCGCAGAUAUCAGGAAGAACACCGGUGGCGAAGGCGGGUCUCUGGGCCGUUACUGACGCUGAGGAGCGAAAGCGUGGGGAGCGAACAGGAUUAGAUACCCUGGUAGUCCACGCUGUAAACGUUGGGCACUAGGUGUGGGGGCCACCCGUGGUUUCCGCGCCGUAGCUAACGCUUUAAGUGCCCCGCCUGGGGAGUACGGCCGCAAGGCUAAAACUCAAAGGAAUUGACGGGGGCCCGCACAAGCGGCGGAGCAUGCGGAUUAAUUCGAUGCAACGCGAAGAACCUUACCAAGGCUUGACAUGCACGGCGGCACUGCAGAGAUGUGGUGGCAUUUAGUUGGUCGUGUGCAGGUGGUGCAUGGUUGUCGUCAGCUCGUGUCGUGA
rnacentral:rRNA from 1 species